GCCCACUUUGGCAGGAUAUAUACUAAAAUUGGACCAAUACAGAGAAGAUUAGCAUGGCCCUUGUGCAAGGAUGACAUGCAAAUUCAUGAAGUGCUCCCUAUUAAA